rnacentral:rRNA from 1 species
UGGGGAAUCUUGCACAAUGGGCGAAAGCCUGAUGCAGCGACGCCGCGUGGGGGAUGAAGGCCCUCGGGUUGUAAACCCCUUUCGGCAGGGAAGAAGCCGCAAGGUGACGGUUCCUGCAGAAGAAGCCCCGGCCAACUACGUGCCAGCAGCCGCGGUAAGACGUAGGGGGCGAGCGUUGUCCGGAUUCACUGGGCGUAAAGCGCGCGUAGGCGGCUCGUUAAGUCGGAUGUGAAAACCCGGGGCUCAACCCCGGGCCUGCACCCGAUACUGGCGGGCUGGAGGCAGGUAGGGGAGAUCGGAAUUCCCGGUGUAGCGAUGAAAUGCGCAGAUAUCGGGAGGAACACCGGUGGCGAAGGCGGAUCUCUGGGCCUGUCCUGACGCUCAGGCGCGAAAGCUAGGGGAGCAAACAG